UUAAGAUAUGCCUCUACAAUCUAAUUCAAGUAUGUUGUGCAUUUGCAAUUUAAUUUUUUAUAGCUCUAAAAUCUGGUAUCAAAAGAGAAAAUACAGAUUGGGAUAUAAUGUAUUUCUAGAAUUCCCUUCUAAUUGAUUGUGUUGUUACAGGUUGAGGAUGGAAAAACAUAAACAAAAACAGUAUACAAGUGCAUAGCUAAAACAACAACAACAACUGAUUUAAAUUUAAAGAAAAUAAAAAAAGUAAUAGAUCCUCUUCAAAAAAUUCACUUUCUUUGAAACAUGGCCACUGGUGUUGCCAAGGGCCAACCAGGUUGACCCAACCUCAGAAAGAGCCCCAUUGCAGCAUGAUCAUUAGCACAGGCCAACCUUGGCAGAAUGGAUUGUUUUUCCAAUAGCUUGCUGUGGAAACAACUCUCUCAUACCAAGGUUGAGGUUUGGAAUGGGGCCCUUGCAGAGCCAAUGUAAGGCAAGCAAUUGGCACCAGGCCUAGCUUCUACAGGCCACAUGGCAAGGUAGUCAAUAGAAGCCACUUUUAUCUCCUUUUAUCCUACGAGGGGGCUUCUCAAAAGGAGUGGGGGACUUGGGAGCUAGUGUGGGGCAGACAAGUAGAUGCUGGGCAUGGCUAUUGCUCUAAAGAAAGAGUUUUUUUGAAGGCAUUCUCUGUCGUGGGAACUGCACUGCACUAGGGCCACCUUAGCCAACGCACCAUGCAACCACAACAUCCACUCAUCUGCCAUUCCCAUUGGCCUCAACAAGUGAAAAAUAUGACAAAUUUGGAAUAAAGACCAGUAAGUUCGACCUCAUAGAAAAACAGAGGAUGGAGGAGAAAAAAACAUCGCGGUGGUCUUGUCCUGUCCGAUCUCCUCCCAGAGCCAUGACGCGACGGAGAACGCCUGCAUUCACUGCGCCUGCAAGCGGAGUGAAGAACCGGCUAGCUAACAAUUCGACAGGCAAAGCCACAGACAAUUGGGUGCAGGGCUCAGGAGAGACCAUGGAUGAAUACGGCGACGACUUGCGGUCUUCGGCUCUCAAUCUCUCUCUCUCUCUCUCUCUCUCAAAGUAACCAAUUGUGUGUGUGUGUGUGUGGAUGUGCGAGUGUAAGUGUGUGUAGGUGGUGUCGUACCCGCCCUCUGCCAGAGCAGUCAUUUACGACCCCCACACAUGGUGGCCACCACUUCCUGCGCUACUGACCGCUAGCCUCUCACUCAGGUCAGAGAGUACCACCGCCUUCAGUUCGCCUUCAAUGGCAAACAGCUCGGCACUGUCCCUCUUCCCCCCACCCCCCGUCCUGCCGUGCCCACUCUACCCCAUCGAAAACGGUUGCAGCCGCGACUCGGACCAUGACUGACUAAGCGACGACGCUCUGGUGUGUCUCGCGAUUUCAGUAUUUCUGUGCCAGUGGCAGAUCCUGCGAAGCUCCGCGACGAAAACUCUGCUGUUGCUUUUCUCUGGCUCUGGCUAUCUGCUGCCGCUGCUGCAACCCCAUCCUCACCAGCUAGUGAACUCAGCCCUUCACAGAGAUUGCAUUUGGAACAAAAGCAUAUUCAUUGUGGCAGUAGUUUUCCGAGGGUUUUAGGAUUAGGGUUUUAGGAGUAGGGUUAGGGUUAACUCCGCCAUGCUUAGGGUUCUCAAUGUAUUAUUUUGCCUGCCUCGUUUUUUGUUGAGAACUACUCACUGUCCAAAACCUUUCUUCGCAUUUGCUUCUAUCCUCCCCACCAGGCCAUGCAUUGGUCUUGGAGGUUCAUCUUGUGGAAAAUCCUAAUCGAAGUUUCUUAAAAAUACAUAUAUAUAUAUAUAUAUAUAUAUAUAUAUGUUUUUUAUAAAAAAGCUUACUCGGA